AUGGAUCCUUCAAAAGCAUCGAAGAGGCCUGUUGGAAUUCUAUUUGUGAAGGUUGUAAGAGCUCAAAAUCUGGAAAAGAAGGGCCUGUUGGGUAGUAAAUCAGAUCCGUACGUGAAACUUAAGAUGUCGGAUGACAGGCUUCCAUCCAAGAAAACAAGAGUAAAGCGCAGCAAUCUCAAUCCGGAGUGGAAUGAAGAAUUCAAAUUUGUUGUGAUAGAUCUAGAGAACCAGUCGCUGGAUGUUAAUGUCUUCCACCGGGCACAGGUUGGUAAACAUGUGAAGAUGGGCAUGAACAAGGUUCUGUUGAAAGAACUUGCCCCGGAGGAGACUCAAGUUUCGACUCUUAACUUACUGAAGACCAUGGACCCAAAUGAUGUACAAAAUGAGAAACCUCGUGGUCAGAUUACUUUGGAGGUGACAUAUAAGCCUUUCAAGCAAGAAGAAGAUAUGGAGGAAGAAAGCAUGGAUGGUACUGAAGAAGCACAGAAAGCUCUAGACAAUGGUCCACCUGGUGGUGGGCUGCUUUUGGUCGUUGUUCACGAAGCUCAAGAUCUUGAAGGGAAGCAUCACACAAACCCAUACGCAAAGAUAAUCUUUAAAGGAGAAGAGAAGAAAACAAAGGUGAUCAAGAAGAACAGGGAUCCACGUUGGGAGGAUGAAUUUGAGUUUGCUUGCGAGGAACCACCUACAAAUGAUAAGUUGCAUGUUGAAGUCCUAAGUAAACCUGGAAAAAUAGGAGGAAUAUUACAUGGCAAGGAAACCUUAGGCUUCAUUUAUAUAGCCCUGGCAGGCGUGAUCAGCAACAGGCGGACCAACGAAAAGUACCGUCUCAUCGGCUCGAAAAAUGGGCAGAUUCAAAUCGAGUUGCAGUGGAGAACUUCAUAG
rnacentral:rRNA from 1 species